UACGGAGGGGGCAAGCGUUGUUCGGAAUUACUGGGCGUAAAGGGCGCGCAGGCGGCUGCUCAAGUCAGGCGUGAAAGGCCUGGGCUCAACCCGGGAAUUGCGCUUGAGACUGGGCUGGCUUGAGUGCGGGAGAGGAUGGUGGAAUUCCCAGUGUAGAGGUGAAAUUCGUAGAUAUCUGGAGGAACACCGGUGGCGAAGGCGGCAUCCUGGACCAACACUGACGCUGAGGAGCGAAAGCCAGGGGAGCAAACGGG
rnacentral:rRNA from 1 species